CUGUAAAAAGUAAUUCAGUGGCUUAGUAAAUUUCACAAAAAUAAAGAGCUAUAUUUACUUAAUAAAAUCUUUUGAAAUCAUUUAAGUGAUAUUUUGAGUGGGUCAGGUUAAAAAUAAUAAUUAAAAAUCCAACAAAUAAUUUCUCUAAAAUUUACAUAUAUUAUUUAAGUUUAUGUAAUGAAAAUAAAUAAGUAUUUAACUAACUAAUUAUAUUUUUAAUAUACCCUCAAUAUUUCUGGUGAAUUCUAAUAUAAAUAUUUGAUAAUUAUUUACUUGUACUGAUCUGUUUUAGAAACUAAAAUUAUUAAGUAUUUCCUACCAAUUUUCCUAAAUAAAGCUCCAGCUUAAUAAAUGACGGUUUAAAUAAAUUGAGUAAAUUUCGCGGCUAAAGUGAUCACGUGUGCAGCUCCGCAGGAAAAAAAAAUCUGCUUUCCUCAGCAGAGACGUCGACUAGCCAUACUCCUCACAACUCCUGUUUCGUAGCUUAAUCGAAGUCACCUGAAGGACGGCUUUCCUGAAUUUCCUCAGCAACGGCAAGACCCGCACUCCUCUCAUAUCGUGAAGUUUAACGAGUUUCGCGGCUCAAGCAAGAGGCACCUGUCACUGAAGGACUGCUUUUCUCAGCAACGACGUGAACAGCAUUACUCGAAUUUCCUGGUUCAGCUGAUCUACCGGUCUUCGUACAAGCAGAGUUGGCAGAGGAGGUCAUAAAAAUCUACAUCCUUCGGGACAAUGAUGGGGCAGUCAGCGAUGUAGGAGUUGUGAUUGAGGGCAUCACUGUCCUCCGCAGUCUUGGGAAUCUCAGCAGAGUCUGCUGCUAUCUUUUGGGAGUCACGUAUGCAUUGGAUUUGAGAUAUUCCAAGACCCACAAAUACAGGUCCUUCUCAAAAAAUUAGCUUAUUGUGAUAAAGUUCAUUAUUUUCCAUAAUGUAAUGAUAAAAAUUAAACUUUCAUAUAUUUUAGAUUCCUUGCAUACCAACUGAAAUAUUUCA